rnacentral:lncRNA from 10 species
GGCUGCAGUGAAUUCUACAAAGAGGCUAUGGGAAAGAAACCUGGAAAGGACCCUUGGCUGUGUACAUUUGAGUAAAGAGAGCACUAUAAAAUCAAAAACCAAUGAAAUGGUUUCCAGAACACAGAACUAUUAAGCUUAAGAAAAGGACAGAAGGAACUGAAGAGAGAGGAACUGUUUUGGAGCAUCACACUUCCACCUCAGAAGAAAUAAGGAAGGAAGGAGGAGGGUGUUCCCACGGCUCUUCAACCAGGCCGGCUCUUCAGCCUACAUCCCCAUCUCAUCAAGUAAAAGGGAUUUUUCAACUGGACCAACCAGAUGGUUUAACAGUGCACUCCCACACCAUUCAACUACGCAAGGGAGAUACACUUAACAUAUGCAGUCGUAUAACACCUACUAACAUUUUCAAACAUUAAACCUUUAAAAAAGAGUUCUAAAGAAAUAGAAGCUUGAAGUAUCAUCUCUCAAGUAUAUAGACACUACUUCAUGGUGUGGUAAUAUAUGCAUAUAGAAGCUAGUAAACACCUCCAGGAGAUGCAAAAGGAAUUAGAACUGCCACAAGGUGCAAGCAAAACCUUGAGGCUCCAUUGAUGGUGAAGUAUUUUCACUAUUUGGCAUGUCUUCUCUAGUACCUAGAGCAGUGCGUUGCAUGCAGUAGCAGGUUUAUAAACAUUUGCGAGUAAAACAUCCAACCUGAUACUCAAGGUAAUCAAUCUGCAUCCCAUUUUGGAUGAGAAUAUUUGCAACUUUGAAGGUUAUUUUAAGGACAGCAGCAGAAGAAUUAUGGCAGGUCUUCACGGAAAAAAAAAUGGCAACAAUAAAAUCAGCAACUCCUGCCAAAUAAAUGGGCAUAAAAAAGAAAUCAUAGACUGCUGGCAAUGGUGGGGAAAAAGUUAUAAAAAUUGUCUCUGCACCAUCUUCCUUUUGUCCUCUAAAAUAUUCACAUUAGCAAAAGUAUAUAACAGCUGAUGAAGAAAUACUGAUAAUUUGUCUUUGUCUGUUUUUCCUCUUCUAAUCCUUCACCCAUCUGAGCUAAAGUCUAGACCUAAGGAGGCUACUAAUUCAGGGAUCGAGUAAUCUGCCAAGCAAGAGUUUAUUCAAGCACAGUUUGAAAUAAAGGUUUCAAAUGCAUAGCCUGUCGAUACUUUGGAAGGAUUCUCAUCAUAACGAGUAUGCAAUUUGCUAUAAAGAAGAAUGCCCAUUACGGACUAAAUGUUUAUGUCCUCCUAAAAUUCAUAUGUUGAAGGCCUAACUCUCAAUGUGAUGAUUAUGUGGAGAUGGUGCCUUUGGGAGGUAACUGGGCUUAGAUGUGGGCGUGAGGGUGGGGCCUCAUGGUGAAAUUUGUGCCCUUGUAAGAAAAACACACCACAGGUUUUCAUUCUUCCUCUGCCACAUGAGGCCACAGUAAGAAUGUGACCAUCUGCUAGCCAGGAGGAAAGUCCUCACUGGAACCCGCCCAUAAUAACACUCCAGUCUGGGGCUUUUCAGCCUCCAGAACCAUGAGAAAUAAAUUUCUAGUGUUUAAGUCA